AUUGAACGCUGGCGGCAUGCCUUACACAUGCAAGUCGAACGGCAGCACGGGAGCAAUCCUGGUGGCGAGUGGCGAACGGGUGAGUAAUACAUCGGAACAUGCCCAGUAGUGGUGGAUAACCCGGCGAAAUCCGGACUAAUCCCGCAUACGACCUACGGGUGAAAGCGGUGGAUCGCAAGACCUCUCGCUAUCUUAUCGGCCGAUGUCAGAUUAGCUAGUUGGUGGGGUAAAGGCCCACCAAGGCGACGAUCUGUAGCUGGUCUGAGAGGACGACCAGCCACAGUGGGACUGAGACACGGCACAGACUCCUACGGGAGGCAGCAGUGGGGAAUGUUGGACAAUGGGCGCAAGCCUGAUCCAGCCAUGCCGCGUGCGGGAAGAAGGCCUUCGGGUUGUAAAACGCUUUUGUCAGGGAAGAAACGCUGCGGGAUAAUACCACGGAGUAAUGACGGUACCUGAAGGAUAAGCACCGGCUAACUACGUG
rnacentral:rRNA from 1 species